UGAAAGCGGCUUCUGCUGCAAUUGGGGUGAGCCGAGAUGGCAAGAAAAGUGUCUAGCGAGAUCAAAGGUGACCGUACCGCAAUCCGACACAGGUAGGCGGGUAGAGAAUACCAAGGCGAUCGGGAGAACCCUCGUUAAGGAACUCGGCAAAUUGGCCCCGUAACUUCGGGAGAAGGGGCGCCUCGCAACUCGUGCUUGCAUGGGUUGAUCGAGGCCGCAGUGAAGAGGCCCAGGCGACUGUUUAGCAAAAACACAGGUCCGUGCUAAAGCGAAAGCUGACAUAUACGGGCUGACGCCUGCCCAGUGCCGGAAGGUUAAGAGGAGGGGUGCAAGCUCUGAAUCGAAGCCCCGGUAAACGGCGGCAGUAACUAUAACUGUCCUAAGGUAGCGAAAUUCCUUGUCGGGUAAGUUCCGACCCGCACGAAUGGCGUAACGAUCUGGGCGCUGUCUCAACGAGGGAUCCGGCGAAAUUGAAGUACGAGUGAAGAUGCUCGUUACCCACGAUAGGGCAAAAAGACCCCGUGGAGCUUUACUACACCCUGCUAUUGGACUGGGGUUUUGCAUGUGUAGGAUAGGUGGGAGGCUGUGAAGCUGGAGCGCUAGCUUCGGUGGAGCCAACGUUGAAAUACCACCCUUGUGUGAUUUCGGUUCUAACCGCGGCCCAUGAUCUGGGCGCGGGACAUUGGCAGGCGGGUAGUUUGACUGGGGCGGUCGCCUCCUAAAGAGUAACGGAGGCGCCCAAAGGUUCCCUCAGGCUGAAUGGAAACCAGCCGAAGAGUGCAAAGGCAUAAGGGAGCUUGACUGCGAGACCCACAAGUCGAGCAGAGACGAAAGUCGGGCUUAGUGAUCUGGUACCUCCGAGUGGAAGGGGUAUCACUCAACGGAUAAAAGCUACCCCGGGGAUAACAGGCUUAUAGCGCCCAAGAGUUCAUAUCGACGGCGCUGUUUGGCACCUCGAUGUCGGCUCGUCGCAUCCUGGGGCGGAAGUACGUCCCAAGGGUUUGGCUGUUCGCCAAUUAAAGCGGUACGUGAGCUGGGUUCAAAACGUCGUGAGACAGUUUGGUCUCUAUCCAUCGUGGGCGUAGGGAACUUGAGAGGAGCUGCUCCUAGUACGAGAGGACCGGAGUGGACGAACCGCUGGUGUGCCAGUCGUCCUGCCAAGGGCGCCGCUGGGUAGCUAUGUUCGGUUGGGAUAAGCACUGAAAGCAUCUAAGUGCGAAGCUCGCCUCGAGAUGAGGUUCCCCACUGGGUUAACCAGGUAAGACCGCAGGGAGAUGACCUGUUUGAUAGGCGGCAUGUGGAAGCUGGGUGACCAGUGAAGCUGAGCCGUACUAAUGGUCU
rnacentral:rRNA from 1 species